rnacentral:rRNA from 1 species
CCUACGGGAGGCAGCAGUGAGGAAUAUUGGUCAAUGGACGAGAGUCUGAACCAGCCAAGUAGCGUGAAGGAUGACUGCCCUAUGGGUUGUAAACUUCUUUUAUAUGGGAAUAAAACGUUCCACGUGUGGGAUUUUGUAUGUACCAUAUGAAUAAGGAUAGGCUAACUCCGUGCCAGCAGCCGCGGUAAUACGGAGGAUCCGAGCGUUAUCCGGAUUUAUUGGGUUUAAAGGGAGCGUAGGUGGAUUGUUAAGGCAGUUGUGAAAGUUUGCGGCUCAACCGUAAAAUUGCAGUUGAAACUGGCAGUCUUGAGUACAGUAGAGGUGGGCGGAAGUCGUGGUGUAGCGGUGAAAUGCUUAGAUAUCACGAAGAACUCCGAUUGCGAAGGCAGUUCACUGGACUGCAACUGACACUGAGGCUCGAAAGUGUGGGUAUCAAACAGGAUUAGAUACCCCAGUAGUC